UACGUAGGUGACCAGCGUUGUCCGGAUUUACUGGGCGUAAAGAGCGCGCAGGCGGUCGUUCAAGUCGAGUGUGAAAGCCCCCGGCUCAACUGGGGAGGGUCAUUCGAUACUGAUCGACUCGAAGGCAGGAGAGGGAAGUGGAAUUCCCGGUGUAGUGGUGAAAUGCGUAGAUAUCGGGAGGAACACCAGUGGCGAAGGCGACUUCCUGGCCUGUUCUUGACGCUGAGGCGCGAAAAGCUAGGGGAGCAAACGGGG
rnacentral:rRNA from 1 species